AGUAUAUGAACUCAUGUCCCGAUAUUUUGUUAUCUUUCUUUUAUCAAUCAGUUUGAUUCAAAUCGUUGCAAUGUAGACAUCAGGAUUUCAUGUGUUACUAUGGUAUCAGACUCAGAAAUCAAUUUCUGAGGGUACCGAUCCUAGCCCGUUUCUUCAUCAAAACCACCAUUACUUCCAUUUUUAACAAUCAUCACCACCAUUAAUCCAUCAUCUUCUAUUGCUGCUACUGCAAAUCGAAAUUCGAAGGCUGAUUUGAUGGAAGCAUCUCAGAUUUGCGACUAAUUUGACGGAUCUAUGUGUUUCUAUAUACAUCAACAACAUCAGUAGUGCAACUAUUACUCCUAUCAGCCUACAACAAACUUCUGCUCCACUACAACUUUUUUGUCGCAUACUUCACCAACUGCAUCCAUAACUACUUCUCCCAUGGGACCAUUAUUCACUUACAUGUUCCGACUACUACCCAAUAUCAAUUGAUGGCAUGUUUCAGUUCACAUUAUAUCUUGCAGCUUAUUUUUAUUGGUGGAUCCUCUUUGCACUUAGUUGUUGCAAUUUGCCAUACACUGAAAGUACAACUCUUGUGUGACACACGAUUGGGUCUAUGUUGCUGAUGCCAAACUAGUGCUAAUCUCAGUGAUUGUGAUUUCUCUUAUUGUGGUUAAGAUCUUGUCAGACUCAACAAGUGUCAGCAGUUGCUCCCUAUGUCUACCAUAUGCUAGUGAAUUGAAAUAGAUAUUGCGUUUAAUUGCUUAUUGGUGUUUUUGUUGGUUUCGAGCAUAGUUUUCAUUAGUUUUCAGAUGGUUGUUAAGUAAAUUGGUCACCACCAUGGGAAAAAUGACAGUGUGAUGGCAGUUAAGAAACCAACAAAAUUUUCUGCUUGGUCAUAUCUUCAGCAUGGUGCAAAUUUGUAAGUACAUUCUUGUCAGUGUAUUUGUUUAUAUUUGCGACAAGUUUUCUCCAUAUGUAAGGUCCAAUGGAGCUAAUGAGUAUGGAUAUGGUGUAAUUUUGUGCUUCUGGUUGUUUGUAUCUUCACUAUUAUACCUUACAGGCUAUUAUGAUCUUCCCCAACUGCCUCAUAUAUUCUCUCUUGUUCCACAGUUCUAUUUGGUUCAUAUUUUACGGUAUCUGCUGAUGUUGUUGUCCAGUUCAAUAAUUUCUAUGGAGGUCACUUGUUUCAUCUUAGUCACGGCUUACAUUUUCUCUCAUAAAACUUGGCCAACUACUUUCAACACGCCUGGUACUUUCAGAAAUGCGUGUUCGCUUAUGGUUCAAACUGCCACUUCUGACUUCCUCUGCACCAACUAGUCCUGCACUGCUAUAUCAACUAUAUUUUACCUACUGUAACAACAAUAUUGGCCAGCAUGAUUUGUUUCGAGAAGUGUGUGAGUGACUAUGUGUGCAAGCUCAAGUCGCCUCUUCAAGCCCCCAUGAGCUUGAGGGAGGGUAAUAACAUGUAUGUAAGUGUGCGAGUGACUGUGUGUGGUGUAGGCUUUGAGUGUGUACAACACAUGUGAGUGAAAGAGAGAAUAGAGUCAAGAGAGUAUAUGAACUCAUGUCAUGUGUCUGUAUCUUGUUAUCUUUAUUUUAUCAAUCAAUUUGAUUCAAAUCGUUGCAAUGUA